rnacentral:rRNA from 1 species
AUUGAACGCUGGCGGAAUGCUUUACACAUGCAAGUCGAACGGCAGCACGGACUUCGGUCUGGUGGCGAGUGGCGAACGGGUGAGUAAUGUAUCGGAACGUGCCCAGUCGUGGGGGAUAACGUAGUGAAAAUUACGCUAAUACCGCAUACGAUCUAUGGAUGAAAGCGGGGGAUCGCAAGACCUCGCGCGAUUGGAGCGGCCGAUAUCAGAUUAGGUAGUUGGUGGGGUAAAGGCCCACCAAGACAAGGCUAUGUAGCUGGUCUGAGAGGACGACCAGCCACAGUGGAACUGAGACACGGUCCAGACUCCUACGGGAGGCAGCAGUGGGGAAUUUUGGACAAUGGGCGAAAGCCUGAUCCAGCCAUUCCGCGUGCAGGAUGAAGGCCCUCGGGUUGUAAACUGCUUUUGUACAGAACGAAAAGGUUUCUACUAAUACUAGGAGCUCAUGACGGUACUGUAAGAAUAAGCACCGGCUAACUACGUGCCAGCAGCCGCGGUAA